AGCUCCAAUAGCGUAUAUUAAAGUUGUUGCGGUUAAAGCUCGUAGUUGGAUUUCUGUCGAGGACGCGCGGUCCACGCUUUGCGUGAGCAUCUGUGUCGGCCUUGGCAUCCUCUAGAGGAUCGUUUCUGCGCUUGAUUGCGUGGAGCGGAACUCUAGACUUUUACUUUGAGGAAUUAGAGUGUUCACGGCAGGCAAACGCCUUGAAUACAUUAGCAUGGAAUAAUAACAUAGGACCUUGGUUCUAUUUUGUUGGUUUCUAGAGCUGAGGUAAUGAUUAAUAGGGAUAAUUGGGGGCAUUCGUAUUAACGCGUCAGAGGUGGAAUUCUUGGAUUGCGUUACGACGAACUACUGCGAAAGCAUUUGCCAAGGAUGUUUUCAUUGAUCAAG
rnacentral:rRNA from 1 species